rnacentral:rRNA from 1 species
GACAGAGGGUGCAAACGUUGUUCGGAAUUACUGGGCGUAAAGCACAUGUAGGCUGCUUGGAAAGUCGGGUGUGAAAGCCCUGGGCUCAACCCAGGAAGUGCACUCGAAACUUCCAUGCUCGAGUCCUGGAGGGGGUGGCGGAAUUCUCGGUGUAGAGGUGAAAUUCGUAGAUAUGGGGAGGAACACCGGUGGCGAAGGCGGCCAUCUGGACGGAUACUGACGCUGAGACGCGAAAGCGUGGGGAGCAAACAGG